AGAACCACAGGACAGAGACCCUGAAAGAGCAGCCCCACAGGCACAUGUGCGCAGAGCUGAGCCUAGUGAACGUGGCAGGAGCUAUCUCUCCACCUAGAGAUUCAGAUAAGAGCUAAGCGCUCUGCCUGGUGAGAGGCUUGCUAUGCCAAGACUUACCCGCUCCACCUUGUCCUUCGUCGUCCAGGGCUCAAAUGGACUCAGCCCAAAGAGUUUGCCAAUCCAGCUGCAAUGGAAGUACAUACGGCGUGUGUGAGAGGCGUCUGGGCUGGGUUUCAGCCUACUGGACCCCCAGGAAAAGAGGGACUGCUGUAAGCGAGAACUUGCUAAGUUUGUCAUUGUUUUCUGAGAAAAUAACAACUUCCUGGCUCUACUACCUGUUGUGGAGACAGAUCUAACUC
ensembl:antisense Gm42574 predicted gene 42574